GCACUUGUAGUUUAAUGGAUAGAACGUGGGCCUCCGACGCCCUUGAUGCAGGUUCGAUUCCUGUCGGGUGCA
rnacentral:tRNA from 1 species